CCUACGGGGGACAGCAGUGAGGAAUAUUGGUCAAUGGGCGCGAGCCUGAACCAGCCAAGUCGCGUGAGGGAAGACGGUCCUAUGGAUUGUAAACCUCUUUUGUCGGGGAGCAAAAGACGCCACGCGUGGCGUUCCGAGAGUACCCGAAGAAAAAGCAUCGGCUACCUCCGUGCCAGCAGCCGCGGUAAUACGGAGGAUGCGAGCGUUAUCCGGAUUAAUUGGGUUUAAAGGGUGCGCAGGCGGAAGAUCAAGUCAGCGGUAAAAUUGAGAGGCUCAACCUCUUCGAGCCGUUGAAACUGGUGUUCUUGAGUGAGCGAGAAGUAUGCGGAAUGCGUGGUGUAGCGGUGAAAUGCAUAGAUAUCACGCAGAACUCCGAUUGCGAAGGCAGCAUACCGGCGCUCAACUGACGCUCAUGCACGAAAGUGUGGGUAUCGAACAGGAUUAGAUACCCUUGUAGUC
rnacentral:rRNA from 1 species